GUAUUUUUCAUUCAACACAUCCUUUAUGCCUCCAUUGUAAUCAUUGAUAGUUUUCCAAAACUCAUGACCAUUUUUGCAAGAAACAUAUGAUUGAAAGUACUAUCACUAAAAGAGGACAAAAUCACACUCUUGGCAAUAACAUCAUAUUGCAUGUCUUGUUGAUUAUUAUUUUCUUACCCUCAUUGGUGACUCUCCAAACAUUAAGACCAUUUUCCUGAAAAAUGCUUUCGUAAGCACUUUGCAUUGUUGGAAGCUCAUGUCAUCGAAACAUAGAGCCAGACCUAAAUUAUCAAUCCCUUCUUGGAUGACCUAACUUACUAGGCAAUGAAGCCUUACCAUUCCCAUCAGCCGAUUUCACAAUUUGCCAAUUGAAUUGGCUUUUCUUUGUUAAAGAUGUGAGCCCUGGCUUUGGUAGCACUUCAAAGGAAUUGGUGGCCAUUUAAUCUAAGAGGGGGUAGGGUGAAUUAGGCUUCACUAAUUGUAUGAAUAUAAACUAAACUAUAUUAUCUAAAUGAGCAUCUAAGGAUUAUCUUGUGUGGAAUUUCCCACCCACAAAGAGUUUUGCAACCUAGAGCCUAUCCUAGCAAAAGCUAAUCUAAGAAAAUAAAGGCACUCAAGUUGGACAUAUGAAAUGCACAAAUGUAAAUUAGUGGGUCAUAAAGAAUGCAAACUCAGAAUGGCGAUUUAUCCCGGUGUAUCGUUCGGCAAAAGGCACACAUAGUCCAUGCUGGAGCUCCUGAUCACCAAGUAUCUCAUUGUAAAUGUAUUGGGCUCACCACAAAGGCUCUUACCAAGAUAGAUGAGAAGCUUGGCACAAAGGUUUGUCUCACCACUACCUCUCUUCCGAUCACUUUGAUGCGUAUACACUACAGGACUUCUGCAUGACAUAGGGUCUUCUUGUCCCCCACACACGAUCAUCAUCGCUGCUCCAAAUCAAGUGGGAGGGUCGAAGACUUGCUGAUGAGCCACCACGGUCCUAAGGUGCCAACACACCAAACUUGCCAUGACGAAUCAGUCCUUGACCCAAACAUAAGAUAGCAACACUUUGCACUAACUCACCCUAGG
rnacentral:lncRNA from 1 species